ensembl:lncRNA
AUGAAAACCUUAUGUGGACUUUUCAGUGGCUCUAUCUGGCUGAUGAAGUCAUCCGACAAACUAAAAGAACAUGCUCUCCAUCUUGUGGCCGUGAAGUGCAAUAACAGGCCUCUCGGUCCACGGAUAGCUGCCGCCGAAGCAUGGCGUAAGGCAAUGGUCUCAGUCUACACGCUCGCUGACCAGUGGUUUGAUAAACAUGGCCUUCACUUAUUCUUGCUUCUCGUUCUUAUUAGCAUAAUCACGAACACUACCGUACUUUUCAUACCGUCGUUGUCGGGUAAGCAGAUAUGCGACAUAUGUGCGUGUGUGUUGUCUUGUCAUUUAGACUAUGUACUUGUUUUGGCUACCUAUCUAUUUUUUGGCCACAAUAUCUGAAUUGUAUUUUAUUUGAGACAGACGGAAAAUGUAGACAGCCUUUUUGAGCGCAAAGGGUUGAAUAUGAGAAUUUUGGCUUCUCAUUUUGAAAGUUUUUCUUACAGGAGACCGAAUCAUAUUCCCAUUUACCGCAUCAAUAAUGGUUAUGGCGUCUAUACUAGGAGCUUCACUGUUCUGGUUCGGAGGUGAGUCCAAAUGCGACACACACGUACUCUUGUUCACGUCCUCUUUUUCACAUCCUCUUUUUCAGUUUUGCUUUGUAGUCUGCCAUAAUACCACAAUGAACUGCGUGCCCCAACAGUUUGUCAUGCCUUGUCCUCUUCUCCCUUGCUGUUUAAAAAAAUACUGUGAUUAAUUGAUUCAACUAAACUCUGAAUUUGCAACGGUUUGAACCUCAUCCGAACCUGCUGCUUUGUGUGCCACGCAGGGAUGGGUCUUCUGUUUACCUGGCAAAAUUGGGUCUCCAUCACCAAGAGGAAAGUGACUGUGUUCACAGUCUGACAUCUGAUCUGUGGUCAGUUACAUGUAGGAGUGAGGAUGAAACGGCACAUCAUGCCACUAUCUUGAUUGAUGUAGUCAGUUUUUAAUUUCUUGCAGUUGUUUUUGCAUUAUUGUAUGAUAAAGAAAGCAUGCUGACUACAAAGUAAUCAAGUAACCUUUUAGAAUCAAAGGUUGAAUCAUUUCCCAGAAUUAAUUUCUUGAACAUUGAAUCAGGCCUGCUGGAUUGUGGAUAAGGUAGUAGUGUAAGUGACUGAUUAUGCAAGAUAUUUUUUCAAGGCAAAUCUUGUUCUUUCUGUGAGGUAAUGAAUGUUUUGUAGAUUGUUAAAGAUGAGCUCUAAUAUUUCCUGAGAUAUUUCAAGGUCAAAUUGCAUGGCUUGCCUGAAUGGGUGCACAUUUCUGUCAAAUCAGUUGUUUAUGAAUAUAGAAGGACAAGGUGGUCAGGGGACAUAUGGGUGAUGUCACCAUUACUGGUUUUUAAAAUUGGCUUGUUCUUAAGCUUUUCCUUUGGUAUAUCUACGUGAUGAAGUGAUGCAUAUAUAAAGUCAAUUUAUUUUUUAUGUUUUAUAUUUUCAAAGUUUUAUGUCGUACUACUUACUAGUAUUACUAAUUAAUGGAAAUUAAUGUUGAGCCUAUAAUGUAAUACAUAUAUUUUUAGUUUGAUCUGUUUUUGGGCUACUGUCUCAUGCAGGAUUGUGAAACCUUAUAAAAAAAAAGUGCUAACUAAAAUGAAUAUAAUAAAGAGAUUCAUGAAGAAAGUAUUUAUUGCCUU